rnacentral:lncRNA from 1 species
AGAGAGGGGGCGGUUGGGGGGAAAGGGAGAGAGCUUCGGAGACGAUGGGUGGGGUUUCAAACUACGUCUCACGGCGCUACCUUAAGCCAGGUGAUCACAUUUACGUCUACAGAGCUGGCUUCACCUACUCGCAUCAUGGUAACAUCUCUCUCGAUCUUUUAUCAGUUUUUUUUUUUCAUCUUUCACUACAGUUUUGUGAAACACCGUAGUCUAUUCGUAUAGGCUAUUGUAUCUGUAUCGAACUGUAAUGUGUGAACGCCAUUUUUGUUGAUGAAUUUUAAGCUUUUGGAGAUAAUCUUUUCAUCUGUA